UAACACUUUUGAUGGAUUGGAAACGAUAAAAAAACGUGGGUGACGGCUGCGAUGUGGUGCUGGUUGGAAAACGGAUUGUGCGUGAUAACAGGGGAAACGUCAAAAAAUUUACGCCGUUAAGUUUAUUAAGAUGAUGUGGAUGAAGUAGUACAUGUGUCAUGUUUUGAUUAGAAAACAGUAAAAACAGGAGGUAAGGAACUUUAUAUAAGUUUUCUCCUUAAAACAAUCAUUUGCAAAAAAAAGAAAAAAGACUUUCAUUAAUAUGUAAUGAUUUAUUUAGUAUACAUAAUAACAAUUUUGAGAUUUUUAUAAGUUAUAAUUUAUCUCAUAUGGGAAAGCAUAUUUUUUACCAAU
rnacentral:lncRNA from 1 species